GCUAAACCAUGCACCGAAGCUGCGGCAGCGACGCUGAUGCGUUGUUGGGUAGGGGAGCGUUCUGUAAGCCUGCGAAGGUGGCCUGUGAGGGUUGCUGGAGGUAUCAGAAGUGCGAAUGCUGACAUAAGUAACGAUAAAGCGGGUGAAAAGCCCGCUCGCCGGAAGACCAAGGGUUCCUGUCCAACGUUAAUCGGGGCAGGGUGAGUCGACCCCUAAGGCGAGGCCGAAAGGCGUAGUCGAUGGGAAACGGGUUAAUAUUCCCGUACUUGGUGUUACUGCGAAGGGGGGACGGAGAAGGCUAUGUUGGCCGGGCGACGGUUGUCCCGGUUUAAGCGUGUAGGUGUGUGUUCCAGGUAAAUCCGGUUCACUUUAACACUGAGGCGUGAUGACGAGGCACUACGGUGCUGAAGCAACAAAUGCCCUGCUUCCAGGAAAAGCCUCUAAGCAUCAGGUAACAUCAAAUCGUACCCCAAACCGACACAGGUGGUCAGGUAGAGAAUACCAAGGCGCUUGAGAGAACUCGGGUGAAGGAACUAGGCAAAAUGGUGCCGUAACUUCGGGAGAAGGCACGCUGACACGUAGGUGAAGUGAUUUACUCAUGGAGCUGAAGUCAGUCGAAGAUACCAGCUGGCUGCAACUGUUUAUUAAAAACACAGCACUGUGCAAACACGAAAGUGGACGUAUACGGUGUGACGCCUGCCCGGUGCCGGAAGGUUAAUUGAUGGGGUCAGCGCAAGCGAAGCUCCUGAUCGAAGCCCCGGUAAACGGCGGCCGUAACUAUAACGGUCCUAAGGUAGCGAAAUUCCUUGUCGGGUAAGUUCCGACCUGCACGAAUGGCGUAAUGAUGGCCAGGCUGUCUCCACCCGAGACUCAGUGAAAUUGAACUCGCUGUGAAGAUGCAGUGUACCCGCGGCAAGACGGAAAGACCCCGUGAACCUUUACUAUAGCUUGACACUGAACAUUGAGCCUUGAUGUGUAGGAUAGGUGGGAGGCUUUGAAGUGUGGACGCCAGUCUGCAUGGAGCCGACCUUGAAAUACCACCCUUUAAUGUUUGAUGUUCUAACGUGGACCCGUGAUCCGGGUUGCGGACAGUGUCUGGUGGGUAGUUUGACUGGGGCGGUCUCCUCCUAAAGAGUAACGGAGGAGCACGAAGGUUGGCUAAUCCUGGUCGGACAUCAGGAGGUUAGUGCAAUGGCAUAAGCCAGCUUGACUGCGAGCGUGACGGCGCGAGCAGGUGCGAAAGCAGGUCAUAGUGAUCCGGUGGUUCUGAAUGGAAGGGCCAUCGCUCAACGGAUAAAAGGUACUCCGGGGAUAACAGGCUGAUACCGCCCAAGAGUUCAUAUCGACGGCGGUGUUUGGCACCUCGAUGUCGGCUCAUCACAUCCUGGGGCUGAAGUAGGUCCCAAGGGUAUGGCUGUUCGCCAUUUAAAGUGGUACGCGAGCUGGGUUUAGAACGUCGUGAGACAGUUCGGUCCCUAUCUGCCGUGGGCGCUGGAGAACUGAGGGGGGCUGCUCCUAGUACGAGAGGACCGGAGUGGACGCAUCACUGGUGUUCGGGUUGUCAUGCCAAUGGCACUGCCCGGUAGCUAAAUGCGGAAGAGAUAAGUGCUGAAAGCAUCUAAGCACGAAACUUGCCCCGA
rnacentral:rRNA from 1 species